rnacentral:rRNA from 1 species
CUACGGGAGGCAGCAGUGAGGAAUAUUGCGCAAUGGGCGAAAGCCUGACGCAGCAACGCCGCGUGGAGGAUGAAGGUGGUUUCCAUUGUAAACUCCUGUAGGGAGGGACGAACAAGCUGGUUUCGCCGGCUUUGACGGUACCUCCAAAGUAAGCACCGGCUAACUCCGUGCCAGCAGCCGCGGUAAUACGGAGGGUGCAAGCGUUGUCCGGAUUUACUGGGUGUAAAGGGCGUGUAGGCGGGGGAAUGUGUCGGGAGUGAAAUCGUACGGCUUAACCGUAUCAAUGGCUUCCGAAACUGUUUCUCUUGAAUGCUGCAGAGGCAGAUGGAAUUCCAGGUGUAGCGGUGGAAUGCGUAGAUAUCUGGAAGAACACCAGUGGCGAAGGCGGUCUGCUGGGCAGUGAUUGACGCUGAGGCGCGAAAGUGUGGGGAGCAAACAGGAUUAGAUACCCCGGUAGC